UUCAUUGGUAAUAUAAUUGCUUUAUCAUUUUUUUACCAGAAACUUUUUAUGUUAUGAAAACCAGAGGAUAUCUGAUAGCUGGUUUGUUUUCUGAACCGUUCAGAUAACGUGCAUGGUGAUUGGUCAUGAAAUUAUUUCAAUGCCAUUCUCAUCCAAUCUCUAGUUGUACAGUAAUUGUCAGUUAGUGACUCAAGUAUGAUAACUUCAUCAUAUAAUAAGCUCAUACUGGUGAAUCAAGAAGCCAAGAAAAUUAUUGGUAGGUUCAUAAGUUAAUACUGGUGAAUCAAGUAGCCCAGAAAAGUAUUGGUAGGUUCAUAUGUUAAUACUGGUGAAUCAAGUAGCCCAGAAAAGUAUUGGUAGGUUCAUAAGUUAAUACUGGUGAAUCAAGUAGCCCAGAAAAGUAUUGGUAGGUUCAUAAGUUAAUACUGGUGAAUCAAGUAGCCCAGAAAAGUAUUGGUAGGUUCAUAAGUUAAUACUGGUGAAUCAAGUAGCCCAGAAAAGUAUUGGUAGGUUCAUAAGUUAAUACUGGUGAAUCAAGUAGCCCAGAAAAGUAUUGGUAGGUUCAUAAGUUAAUUCUGGUGAAUCAAGUAGCCCAAAAAAGUAUUGGUAUGUUACCUGAUUGGCAUGAUAUGAAUAAAAUAAUGUUUAAAAUAGCAAACAAAUUUCAUGAUAAGUUUUAGUGUAC